AAUGAGAAUAGAAAUUUAAAAUCGUUUAAUUGAGAAGGAGGUCAUUGAUAUGUGUCCCACCAGAAACCAGAGAUUCAGUUCCUAACCAUUUUUCACUAAAAUAAGCCCUAAGGUUCUUUUUUAUUGAACAAUUAUACCAAAUUUGUUAGAAAUUAAAAUCUUUGCAUAAACUUCUUUAAAAUAUCUAUUAUAAACAUGCUAAUAUUGGUUGAAUUAGUCUAAACAUUCCUUUUUUUGACAUUUGGACGUAGUGUUUGAGUGUCAUUGAGAUUAACUAGAUAAAGGAAGACAUUGAUAAGUUGAACAUUACAAUACAUAAAGAGCUACAAAUCAAUAAAAGCGUGACACUCCCUCCCUCUUGCCUUCCCCCAGCCAAAGAUCUAAGACUUGAAGAAGCAAUUCACAAA
rnacentral:lncRNA from 1 species